GCCAACGCUGGCGCAAGGAAAGGGGGCGAAAGGAAGCUUUGUUGCCGCCAUUUCACGUGAGAGCAACGCGGUGACAGCGGCUGUCAGAGCAAAAUAACAACAACAACAACAACAACAAGUGCACCGCGUGAGAUUUAAAUCAACCCGCUGGAGCUUUUCAGGAGCGAGGGACACCAGGUUAUCUUGCUGUUUGGGCCGGAUUCAGUGUGAAGGGGCCGGUCGUGGUGCUCGGGGGAGAACAGGAUGAGCUACGGAAGGCCGCCGCCAGACGUGGAGGGGAUGACCUCCCUCAAAGUGGACAACCUCACCUACCGGACGUCCCCGGAGACCUUGCGCCGGGUGUUCGAGAAGUACGGCCGCGUCGGGGACGUGUACAUCCCCCGGGAUCGCUACACCAAGGAGAGCCGCGGCUUCGCCUUCGUGCGGUUCCUCGACAAGCGCGACGCCGAGGACGCGAUGGACGCGAUGGACGGCGCGCUGCUGGACGGGCGGGAGCUCCGGGUGCAGAUGGCCCGCUACGGACGACCCCCAGACUCCAUGUACAGCCGGAGGGGAGCUCCGCCACGCAGAUACGGAGGACGUUCCGACAGCCCCCGGCGCCGCAGACGUAGCCGCAGCCGCUCCAGGAGCAGGAGCCGUUCCCGAUCCAGGAGCCGCCAUCACUACAGCCGCUCCAGGUCCCGCUCCUACUCCAGGUCGAGGUCCAAGUCCAAGUCCAAGUCUAAGUCCAGAACCCCGAGGAGGAGCAAGUCAAAGUCCCCCUCCAGGUCUCGCUCCCGCUCCAGAUCCAAGUCAAGGAGUCAAACCCCACCCUCCAACAGGGGGUCCAAAUCCAGGUCCAGGUCCAAAUCCAAGAGUAGGCCUAAAUCACCAGAGGACAACGAAGCUGAGCCUUGACCCCAACAUGGACGCAAUAUAACGCUGCGGAGUCCUGUUUGCAAAGAGAGGAGGAGGAGGAGGAGGAGAUGGGGGUGUGGCAGUGUGAGAGCAGUUAGUGUGUGACCCGCCCAUGUGACCUGCCUGUUGCUGAGAGCGAUGGCAGCUGCUAAGGAGCAGGUCGUCAUGGCGGUGGUUCGGGCGGUCAGUUGGUGUAUGAGGUGGUGUGGUGAGGUACGUUCACGGGGAUCACAGGCGGAUGCGCUGAGCGCUGUUCCCGCCCGUGCCUGUGGUUUCCUCCGCUUCUCACAAAGGGAACGGACCCAGAGGUUUGUUUUUCAAAUAUGCCCGAGUGCAAGACACUUGUUACAACUGCUUUUUUGGGGGGGGGGGGAGUGUGGGAUCCAAGUUUAAGGUGUGUAAACAAAUGUGAAGAUUAACUACAAAUGUUAGGUAUAUUGGAUUCACCCACAAAAAUAAAAAGUUUUUUUAAAUGUAAGUUUCAAGAAGAUCAGACCAGAACUGUUUAAAUAUCAGCUGCAGGAGUUGAGACUUUCUUUUUGUUGUGCUUUUGUCAAUUGUAUUUUUUUCUUUCCUUGCAGAACUGAGAUGACCGAGCCUUUGCAGAGGACGUCAGGAAGAGUCUCACAUUGAGCAAGGGGACUCCAUUAUUACCACUGAAUGCAGACUGAAAGGCGCAGUUGUGUAGCAGUUGAGUAAUGCUGGUUAGCUGUUAAGAUGCGGUGCAGUGCGGUGGUGACAUGGUGUGGCGUGUUGCGGUGCUGAGUGCCCGGCGCUGUUCCGGGGCUCGACCCUCCGCUGCCGUUUGCCGGUUUGUAAGAUCACAGGUGUGGCAGUUCAUCCAUCCUCUCCUGUCUUGUGACUUCUCCUUCCCUCCAUGUGCUGUACAGAUUCUCUCCUUCCUUUUGCUCUUUAUCCUCCCUCCUUUCCUCCCUCCCCUCCCUCUGUGGUUUACCCACUGUUUAAAAAAAUAGCUGUGCUCGCUUUUUGAAGUUGAGUCCAGUGCGACUCCUAUUGAAGGGUUUAAAAUUCAGUUCAAAAUGCUCAAUGAAUAAUUUGUGUAUUGCAUUCCUCUGUUAACCUUUCACACGUCUUGUUAUUGCUUCAGGUGAAUGCUAAUAAACAUUUUUUUUGUCGUAAAUAA